rnacentral:ncRNA from 2 species
GCUCAAUCUGGAGAUGGCGUUCCUCCUUUAACCAUCGCGCUUACCGCGCGGUUAAUGACGCCUACAGUUAC